GUGCCAGCGCCGCGGUAAUACAUAGGGGGCAAGCGUUAUCCGGAAUUAUUGGGCGUAAAGGGUGCGUAGGUGGCCAUUUAAGUCUUUGGUGUAAGUGCAGUGCUCAACGCUGUGAUGCUAAAGAGACUGGGUGGCUUGAGUGUGGUAGAGGCAAGUGGAAUUCCAUGUGUAGCGGUAAAAUGCGUAAAUAUAUGGAGGAACACCAGUGGCGAAGGCGGCUUGCUGGGCCAUAACUGACACUGAGGCACGAAAGCGUGGGGAGCAAACAGGAUUAGAUACCCUGGUAGUCCACGCCGUAAACGAUGAGUACUAAGUGUUGGAGAAAUUCAGUGCUGUAGUUAACGCAAUAAGUACUCCGCCUGAGUAGUACGUACGCAAGUAUGAAACUCAAAGGAAUUGACGGGACCCCGCACAAGCGGUGGAUCAUGUUGUUUAAUUCGAUGAUACGCGAAGAACCUUACCAGGUCUUGACAUCCCUUGCAAAGCUCUAGAGAUAGAGUGGAGGUUAUCAAGGAGACAGGUGGUGCAUGGUUGUCGUCAGCUCGUGUCGUGAGAUGUUGGGUUAAGUCCCG
rnacentral:rRNA from 1 species